AGCCAAUCAGAAGGCCUAUAUGCAAAUCAGUUUUCCACACUGGCCUGCCAUCAUUCACUUUAAACUGGACUGUGAUUACAGGCCGUAGCAAGUGUGCCUUUAGAUCAUUAGAACGCAUUUCCCAAAAGCCACCUGACUGGAUUUCUGCAAAUGUGUAAAUACCACGGGAGUCCUCCUACAUUUGCGAACUUCAUAGCCCUAUUGAUGAAACCAUGAAAAGACGUCACGAAGCACUUCCAGGCUGCAACAAAGGGACAAGUGGGAACGGCUUAAAAACAGUAAAAUGGCUGAAUUGAGAAGUGAUGAAAGAAAAUGAAUAGGAUUAAAAUGUAGUUUUGUGUUUGUUAAAUUUUAUUACCAUGACUACAAGUAGCACUGAAAUUAUGCUCCCGUAACAUGUAUUGUGACAAAAGGAUAAAUGCUGUGGGCCAUGAAAAUGUAAUAAAAUAACAU